UGCCUGCGGAGGGAUCAUUGCUGGAACGCGCCCCAGGCGCACCCAGAAACCCUUUGUGAACUUAUACCUUUUGUUGCCUCGGCGCAUGCUGGCCUCUAGUAGGCCCCUCACCCCGGUGAGGAGAAGGCACGCCGGCGGCCAAGUUAACUCUUGUUUUUACACUGAAACUCUGAGAAAAAACACAAAUGAAUCAAAACUUUCAACAACGGAUCUCUUGGUUCUGGCAUCGAUGAAGAACGCAGCGAAAUGCGAUAAGUAAUGUGAAUUGCAGAAUUCAGUGAAUCAUCGAAUCUUUGAACGCACAUUGCGCCCUCUGGUAUUCCGGAGGGCAUGCCUGUUCGAGCGUCAUUUCAACCCUCAAGCAUUGCUUGGUGUUGGGGCACUGCUUCUAACGAAGCAGGCCCUGAAAUCUAGUGGCGAGCUCGCCAGGACCCCGAGCGCAGUAGUUAAACCCUCGCUCUGGAAGGCCCUGGCGGUGCCCUGCCGUUAAACCCCCAACUUCUGAAAAUUGACCUCGGAUCAUGUACGUAGGGCCCCC
rnacentral:rRNA from 1 species